AGGAGAAAGGGAGCAGCCAACGGUGGUGCGUCUUCAACGACAAACUACUGAGGAAAGUCCUCUCUCCCAGGUGGUUAUCCACCUGAAACAUGGGUGGCCGGGGCAAUCCGGUGUGCCGAGAGGCAUGGCAAGGGCGCAGAAACGACACAGUCCGGUCGGAGCGAUGAUGGAAUUGUUCCUGAGCUGAGAAGACCGGGAUUUGGUGAGACGGCGACUCCCAUCCGGUGCAAGCCCAAAUUUGGUAGGGCGCUAAGUCGAAUGCUGCUUAGAAACAGAAAGAGGCUUACCACUUUCACCU
rnacentral:RNase_P_RNA from 2 species